UACGGAGGGUGCGAGCGUUAUCCGGAUUUACUGGGUUUAAAGGGUGUGUAGGCGGAACAUUAAGUCAGUGGUGAAAUCUCUGGGCUCAACCUGGAAACUGCCAUUGAUACUAUUGUUCUUGAAUACUGUGGAGGUGAGCGGAAUGUGUCAUGUAGCGGUGAAAUGCAUAGAGAUGACACAGAACACCGAUUGCGAAGGCAGCUCACUACGCAGUGAUUGACGCUGAGGCACGAAAGCGUGGGGAUCAAACAGG
rnacentral:rRNA from 1 species